rnacentral:rRNA from 1 species
CCUACGGGGGGCAGCAGUGAGGAAUAUUGGUCAAUGGGCGCUAGCCUGAACCAGCCAAGUAGCGUGAAGGAUGACUGCCCUAUGGGUUGUAAACUUCUUUUAUAUGGGAAUAAAGUGCAGUAUGUAUACUGCUUUGCAUGUACCUUAUGAAUAAGGAUCGGCUAACUCCGUGCCAGCAGCCGCGGUAAUACGGAGGAUCCGAGCGUUAUCCGGAUUUAUUGGGUUUAAAGGGAGCGUAGGCGGGUUGUUAAGUCAGUUGUGAAAGUUUGCAGCUCAACCGUAAAAUUGCAGUUGAUACUGGCAGCCUUGAGUACAGUAGAGGUAGGCGGAAUUCGUGGUGUAGCGGUGAAAUGCUUAGAUAUCACGAAGAACUCCGAUUGCGAAGGCAGCCUGCUGGACUGUAACUGACGCUGAUGCUCGAAAGUGUGGGUAUCAAACAGGAUUAGAUACCCUGGUAGUC